rnacentral:rRNA from 1 species
GAAAAUCUUAUCCCCACCUUAUCCUCUCAUCACCCACCCAUCUCUCUCUCCCCCCGUGCUCCUCAAUCCACUCUGCGCCUCCCCUCCCAGCCCGCCGCUGCACCAUCUCCUCCCCUGGGCCACUACACCACCUCACACCCCGCGCCAUGGCACCACCCCUCCCCGCGCCGCCGCACCCUCUCCAACCACCUCCUACUCGGCCCACCUGCCCACGCGUCGGCCAGCCGCCGGAUUUGCCCCGUCGCCGUCCUCCCACGGCUGCCCGACAUCAUAUCCACUUGUAGCCGUCCUGGGGGCGUCAGCGGCGGCCGGCUUCAAGGGUUGGAGAGGUCCAGUGAGCUCGGGGUCGCCGGCGAUCCACCCCUCCCCGUUCUUCCACGACCGUCGGUGUUGCGCGUGUCCCCCACGACAGUGUAGUUCGCGUGCGCGUGUGCAACUCCUUCCUCACCUCACGACCACCAUCUCUCUGAUGAGCAUCAGCCUUCAAAGAUUGGAGGGGGUCCAGUAAGCUCUAAGAUCGCCGGGAGCCCACCACCCCGCCACCCUAGCUACCCCGCACCAGAUCUCGCCAAAGAUCUGGCGUGCCCUGCAUCCAUCGCCGCCGUUCAAGGUCGGACGCCUAGGUCCAGCGAGGCCACCGCCUCUUGUCUGUCCGCUGCCUGUGUUUGAAGCUACCGGCGCUCCACCCCUGCCCAGAUCCAUCAGGCGCGCGCCGGUUUCUUGCUGCCCGCCCCUCCGCAGCCGCACCGGUCUUCGGUUCAAUUUUUUUGUUUUUGCUAUUAAAAUCUUCAGUGCACGGUGGCGAAUGUUGAAGUCCCUCCCCUCUCUUCUGCUACGUUGCAUGAUCCCCCACCCCCCACUUCCUCUGUUUGGCAGGUCUGGUAGCACUCUCGCAUCGAUGCAGCUCACUUCGUCCAUACGGGUUGUUUUUUGGGAUCGAACUACAUCUCACUUCGCCCAGUGUCUGGAACAGCAUGAGCGUGCGGGCGUCCCUGCCCUGCAGCCAGGCGACAGCACCCGUGCAGUCCACAAAUGAGGCCGUGAAGUUGAAGAGCGACAGGUGAGGCGGCCCUUUCCAGCGAGCACAUCAUGUAGUGCUGUCGAGCGUGGCCUGCAGUGCAGCUCGCCUCGGCGUGCAGUCUACGGCUCUCACCUGCAACUCUCUCCUACACUUCUUGUUUGUAGGCGGCGGGAGACAAGUGCACUGCAUUAUGGUGGCCGGUGGCAUAAUUAUUUCUUUACUAGUUCAUCUUUGCUGUUUGUUUUAGUUUCACCAUGUUUGUGGUUCCCUUAUGGCAUCCCGCAGUACGCAUUGCAUAUACAUGCAGUUUUUUUUAAUGCAAAGAUAACAAUAUAAUGGUGUAACAGAAAAGUUCUAGAACAAAAUAACAAAAAUAUUUGAAAUAAUGCAGUUCACUAGUCUUGUCUAGUAGUUUGGACGUAGUAAUAGAAAAGGUUUACCGGAGGGCUGAUGUGCCCGGCAGCACCGCCGUGCAGUUCGCUUUACAUUUUGUUUUUCUGCAGUUAGUCCGGGACGCCGACACCUUGCAGUUUAGCGGCUCCAGCGCAAGUAGUGCAGGUUGCUCUUGUUGCAGCUCAGUUGAGUCGUCAGUGAAGUAUGCGCGGACGUGACGACCAGACAACGACGUUGACUGCUAUGAUAAUAGCAACCAUAUCACCUAUAAAGCACCGAUACGGCGACACGGAUAGGGCAAUACGAGUACGGCGAUACGGGAUACGACAAUUUUUAAAAACAGCAAUACAGCAAUACGGCGAAUAUAUAUAAAUAAGUAAUAAAAU